rnacentral:rRNA from 1 species
CAGCCGCCACGGUAAUACAGAGGGUGCGAGCGUUAAUCGGAUUUACUGGGCGUAAAGCGUGCGUAGGCGGCUUUUUAAGUCGGAUGUGAAAUCCCUGAGCUUAACUUAGGAAUUGCAUUCGAUACUGGGAAGCUAGAGUAUGGGAGAGGAUGGUAGAAUUCCAGGUGUAGCGGUGAAAUGCGUAGAGAUCUGGAGGAAUACCGAUGGCGAAGGCAGCCAUCUGGCCUAAUACUGACGCUGAUGUACGAAAGCAUGGGGAGCAAACAGGAUUAGAUACCCCGGUAGUCCCUGUCUCUUAUAC